CAAGCAGCUGGGAGUUUCAGGAAAAUGUCCACGCAAAAGACGGUGCCUGAGCUGACUCUUAUAAGAAGAGAGGGACUGUGAGGCAAAAACAUGGUUAUUGAUGGCCAAUGAAGAGGCACAGAAGACUAGAAGACCAGAUGAAUGUCCUGGGGGAGGAUUACUGAGAGAGUCAGUUUGGCUGGAUCAAAGAGCUCUGGAGAGGGUGUCAUGUCCAGUGAGGCUAGGAAGAUACAAAGAAUGGAUUGCUGGGAUGGAAAAGGUGAAAGGAUGUCUUCAGAAAUGAAGAGGACAUAAAAGCAAAGGAU